ensembl:lncRNA
GUGCGGGAAUAGAUCGUUAUGUUGAUGGAUGGAUGGGUGGGUGGGUGGAUGAAGAGAUAAAUGGAUAGACGGGUGGGUGUAGGAGUGGACGGACACACGGGCAGAGAGAUGGGUACGGUCAAACGCACACAAAGAGCCAGGUGGAUGCAUAGGCACGCAGAAAGGCAUGGACACAUUCACACACACACGUACACAUGCUGAGAGGCAGACAAAGGAAAGAGCAGACGUGCAGAGAAAUGCGCACAGACACACAGGCAAGGAGAGGCAGAGAUGCUUAAAGAAGCAGGCAGAAAUGGGCAGGUGGAGAAGCAGAGGCAGACACACAAACAGGCACACACACUGACAGACAGGCACACACCAUGUGCAUGCACAGAGCACUCAUCCUAUCAGUUCUGAAGGGAAGCCACACUGUGCGUUUGUGCCAGGGUGACAGUGUCCUGGCUGCUAGUCCCUGCCCCGCACAGGAUGAAACACGCAGCUGGACUUCCUGCUGCACAUCCCUUCUGCAUUGAUCAGUGAGCUGGAGCCUGGUUCUUCUGCUCUUCCUGUCCCCAUUUAUCCUCUCAGGUGACAAGAGGAUCAUGUCAGCGAGGUCCAGCUGGUGAGAAGAGGGCAAGCAAGCCAGGACUGGAGAAAGUCAUUGCUUCCAUAAGAGCUGCUGCUGUUUCAAAGGGACCAACCAAAGCAGGAGGAAUGGCACCGGGAUUUAAAUCCCUUUGAGACCAGAACCGUGUGACUACCAUGGCCCUGGAGGAAGCCCUGCAAUCAUGGCAACAAUUGUGUCUUGUAGAAGAGCCCACAUCCCAGUUGGCACACUUGGAAGGGGAUCACAAGGCAGAAACAUCCCUUUUCCUUGUGAGUGAGAGCAAAGAUUCAGCUCCAGCCCAUCGGAUGCUGCUUCUGUCAGAGGAGGAAGGGAGAGCAGGGACUUUGGGAUCCACCCUGCAUGAGCUGAAAGGCCUUGAGAAUCCAUUCGGCAAAAGGGAUGAAUGUGCACUUCGGGUUCCUGCAGGAUCAAGAAGCUGCUUCCAUACUGAGGUCCUGGCUGUGAGACAGCAGGAGGAUGCCUUAAAGCUUCGUGGCCCUGCACCGUGCCCACCUGCUGGCGGGGCUUUGUUAAUUCACUUCAGUGGCGGCCCAGGAGGGAAACGCUUCCCGGCUGCUGAACCGAGGGAGUCUGAGGGAGAAAGGUGGGUCCGGGUGCCUGCCCUCAGCCUGCUGCCAGGCCUCCCGGCACGGGUGGGUCACACACACACAAACGCCAGUGAAAACGUCAGCCUGGCUCUGCUGACUGCCUCCAGCUGAGGAGUAACUCAGGAGUUUGCUUGGGACAGUGCGAGUUUUUCUGGGAAAGAGCAAAGGAG